CAGCGCGUGGGUCAACUUGGUAGACCGCUUGAUUCGGGUUCAAGAAUUUGCUGGUUCAAAUCCAGUCGCGCUGACCA
rnacentral:tRNA from 1 species